rnacentral:lncRNA from 1 species
GGACUGUGAUCAAAACAUAGAUGCUAGGGUCAGUCUGUCCAGGAUUAACUAUGGUGUGGCCUUGGGCCAAAAAGCAACCUUGGGAGUUCCCAUUGUGGCACAGUGGUUAACAGAUCCAACUAGGAACCACAGGGUUGCGGGUUCCAUCCCUGGCCUUGCUCCGUGGGUUGAGGAUCCAGCGUUGCCAUGAGCUGUGGUGUAGGUUUCUGACGUAACUCAGAUCCUGCGCUGCUGUGGCUCUGUAGGCCGGUGGCUGCGGCUCCGAUUAGACCCCUAGCCUGGGAACCUCCAUAUGCCGAGGGAGCGGCCCAAGAAAUGGCAAAAAGACCAAAAAAAAAAAAAAAACCUCAUUCCUCAGUGCCCUCAUCUGUAAAAUAAAGGAAAGCAGUGGCUCCUACUUACAGAAUUGUUACGGGAUUAAAUAAACUCAACUUUCUGGCACUUCAAACAGGGCUUGCCUGCCAUGCAGUCCAUGUUCCCCCAGAAUGUUUGCGGUUCUUAUUUUUUGUUUCACCAGAAUUCCCUUUUCCCCCUCAUUUCUUUGUAGUGCUUCCUGUAUUGCUUCCCAAGCUGACCCAAGGUGGGAAGAGCCCUUUCUCCUUAACUGUGGACACUCUCCGCCUCUAAGUAUUGUAGUUCCAACAAUGGGUCCCUUGGUGAGGUUUAAGACAAGGUGGGUGUGAUAAACCAAUUUAACAUUUAGGUUUUGAAUUCCCUAUAAUUACAACAUGUCUAUUGUGUCAAACAUUAUACUUCUUGCAGCAUAGGUAAUAUUACAGUGUAAUUGAAAAGUCCCUCUAGCCGCUGUGUUGUUCUCAUCUCUUCCUCACUGUCUCAUUGCCCCUUGGAAAAGCAAACCAAAACCAAAACAAACAAACAAAAAAAACCCCCACUUCCCUCUUAAUUAUGCAGACCUAUAAAAUUCUUUCUCCCAAAACUAAACUCAGCCCUCAACUGAUUUUUACACAAAGAUCUGUUAAUGGACUUUUUAAAAUGCUGAUAAUACCUCCUGGAUCCUAUUUUUGUCUGCCCUCCAUCAAUCUGGGCACAAAAAAGGGAGUGGGUGGGGCUGUAAGAAUUAUGCUGCCCCAUAGAAGGUCACUGUCUGUUCCUAUUUUAAAGAACCCCCCCCUUUUUUUUAAUGGAACUAAGUAUUUUAUUUUAUUUUGUUUUUUGAGGGGUUUUUUUUGUUUGUUUAAUGAUUUUUACUUUUUUCAUUACAGCUGGUUUACUGUGUUCUGUCAAUUUUCUACUGUACAGCAAGGUGACCCAGUCACACAUACAUAUAUACAUUCUUUUUUCUCCCAUUAUUAAGAACCCCUUUUAGUUCUUUCUUUCUUUCCUGGUGCAGUCGUCAUCGGCCCCUACAGACAAAGAGAGGUCUGAGAUUUUAUAGUUCCGAAGUGCCGGAUCGCUUACUGCUGAAUCCCUCUGCUCUGAGCUACACAAUGCAAGGGUGUCUGCACCGGGGCCCUCCGAGCUCUCGCAGACAGAAUGACCAGGCACAUAAGAAAUGCUCCUUCACAAAUUUCAGGCAGCCCCUAAUUCUCUCGGUUUCCUACCCCCGUGCUUUUCUGCUCUGGUUUUACACUGGCAGCAAGGAGGCACCUUGAAGAUCUCACCCUGAACCCACGUUUUAACCUCCAGGUCUGGAACCUCGCUGGGUGUCACACACGUACAAUAUACGAAUGAGUUUGGCUGCAAGUAACAGAGGACCCAGGCUUCGUGGGUCUUAGCAGGAUCUGCUUUAUCUCACCUAGUAACAGGCAGCUGCUCCGGGCCGCCUGCUACUCAGCCAUUUUAGGGUCUUUGGAGAUCGCGUGUGUUCUCUCCGCUUGUGCUUCUCCCUGCAGUCACAGCACCACCCCUGCUCGGAAGGGGCGCCACCAAGUUCGUUUGCUCUUCUUGCCAGGAAAGCGAUCCCUUUCUUAGACCAUCCAUUCCCCCUUUUAAAGGUUCCAUUAGCAUCCUAUCUCCCAGGGAAGUGCACUUGGCCACUGCUAGCUGAAAGCGAGGCUGAGAAAUGAGUAUUUUGUUCCUCCAGCCCUACAGUAGAGGAAGCAAGAAGAAAAGGGCAGGGGGGUGGGAUGGAAGUUGGUGGGGGGGGAGCGUAAUGACUCUAGAAUUAACUGUCCGGUACCAUCAGCCACACCAGACAAAGAGAGGUCUAAGAUUUAUAGAUCUGAAGUGCCUGAUUUCUUACUGCUGAAUCCCUCUGCUUAUCAGCAACACAAUGCCAAGAGUCUGCAUGAAACCUUGGGAGAAAAAAAAAAAAUCAGUUAAAUAUUUAGAUGAUUUGCCGACAUGGGGAACUUGCCGUUGGCAGCAAAGAUUUAUUAAACAGGCUACAAAACAAGAUGUCAUUAAACAGUUUGAAAGCAUGCCCUCGUAAUUAAGAAAGGAGACAGUUUCUAAUUUGGGUAAUGAAAUCUGUGGCUCAGAUGAGCAUUCAUUUUAUUAAUAUUUAUCGUGCGCCUACUGUGUGCCAGGGUACUGCACAGGCUGACUGCGGGCAACAGAACAAAACGUCUCCCUUCUGCCAAACCUACUGGUAAUAAUAGCUGCCGUUUCUUGGAUACUGAUGCUGGGCCAAGCCAUGUGCCCAGCAUUUUACAGACAACCCUAAGAGGAGAAUCAUUGCCCUCAAUUCAUACAUGGGCUCAGCAACCAGCUCGGUGUGUCUUGAGAACUUUCCCAGGACGCAGGACUUGCAGUGCUAAACCAGGGAAGUCUGCUGAGAUUUGAGGCAAGUGGGACCGAGUGCCGUUAAGUGACUUCCCCGAGGGGACACAGUUAGCCCUCGGAAUUCCCAGACUCCAGUCCACCCUGCCAUUGUCAGGCCCGGCCCUCCCAGGCGGCAGCCUGAUUCCUAAACCUCUUCUUGAGCCCAGUGUUCUUACCCCACCCCCACCUCCUCCCCAUCCUUCCUUCUGCUUCUCCUCUCGGCUCAAACACACAAGAGUGGACCCUCUUCCUCUUUGAGCCACAGAGCUCUCAAGAGAAACCCCACCUGCAGUGGGUGAACUUGGGUGGUCUUUCAAGGGCCAGGGCCGCGGAGUAAGAGCAGCUCUGUUUUGACCCAGCAACACAAGGGGCUGUGUGCGCUCUGGGCCCCUUCUCCAGGCCGUUAGGAUUUAAUUGCCUACAGACUGUUUCUCAACCCUGGUUGCACAUUAAUAUCACCUGGGGAGCUUUUACAACAUCCUGAAGCCAGGACCGUUUAAAACGGAAUCUCUAAGCACAGGCCUGCGUGUAGGAAUGUUUUACCUUUGCAAAAAUUGAGUUUAUCUUAUCUAUAGGAGCGUGUGUAAGUGUGGAGGGCAAAGUUCAAUGGAUUUUAUAUAUGGUCGCAACCCCCCAGAUCAAAAGAUGGACCGAUUUCCAGCUCCCACGAGACUCCCUUAUGGCCAUUGGUACAUCUUUUAAGCCCUUCUAGGUUAUUCUAAUGUGUGAUCAGAUUUGGGGGCUACAGGUUUAGGGCCCAGUCCCUCCAUGGCCGGAGGUGAUUCCUGCGUCCAAAGACAGCAGGGGCCACAUGUUCCCUCUCUCAGUGGACAGGGACGGGAAGAGAAGUCAUCCUUCCUGGCGUGUCCCACUGCAGUAGUGGCACUGCAUGCCUCCCCCAAGGGCUAAAUGAGCACCUUGAAAGCAGAAGCUGCCUCUGGCCAAGAGCCAAGCACAGUGUGUGAUCCAUUGUAAAUAUUUUCUAUCAGAUGGAAAAAAUGAUAGUCAAUAGGCUCGUGACUGCGGGGCGUCCUGUCCAGUCUCCAUUUGGAGGCUCGUUGGAGGUUCUCUGAGAACACAAGGCUGUCUCGGGCCCUUGUUUUCAGCGUCUGCCUUUUUUCUUUGACCCGAGAAGGGUGCGUUCAAGAAAAUGUUGAUUCCAGGUCCUGUUCUCUCACAGAGUUCAUGCUCGGCCUGUGCACAGGUGACACCAGUGACAUGCAGUGUAAUUCCGCAGUGUCGAAAGCUGAUGUCAACCGCUAAAUGGGGAAAGCAGGCUGUCUCGGCCGUGGGGUGUGUGUGUGUGUGUGUGUGUGUGUGUGUGUGUGUGUGUGUGUGCCACCGACACUUAGGAAUGAUCCAUGUCGGAUGUUCGUCCGGCUGCCCUGGGUUACCAGGAGGCCUCUUUUUUCUUUUGAUGUAUACAAUGUACAGAAAAAUAUGUAUUUUUGCCUGGAGAGUAGUUAAAAAGAGCUUAUUGUGCCAGCAUCCCCAGGUCAUUUCUAUAUUUUUCUGCCCACAUACUUUAUUCAUAAUGUCUAUUUUAUUCUCCUUUAUUUUGUCAAGUUAGUGUUCGACAUUUCUGCUUUUCUCUAAGAAAAAGACCCGUAAUCAGAGCAAGGCCACAUGGCUGUGGUUAAACGCAAGUGCAUCAUUGGGCAAGUUUAAAAAUCCGGAAUGCGUUUAAGCAGUUGGGAGGGCUUCAGGGUUCGAACUGGAGAUUUAUUCCGACCUUGAUCCUGAAGCCCCACUCUGGGAGGGAGUGGGUAGGAGAGGGCGUGGUUCUAACGUUGACAGAGAACUCAGAGGACACAAGACGCAGGACACUACAGUUCUUGGCAUAAAAGGAGGACCAAACCUCUCUCAGCAGCAGGACAGACAGAGCAGAUCAUUUGCGUCCCACAAAAUAGCUAAGAGAGAAAAUGCAGAUCAAAUCACUUACUUGUCAUGGAUGGAUUCUCCAGGCAGCUCAACAGGUCUUGGGAAAUGAAAUGACUGUUCUGUGUCAAGGCCUCCACACCCGGCGCUUAUUCAAGGAAUUGUCGUCCUAUGGCUGUCAGGCUACUUCCAAAUGUGUUUCAACUCUGAAUGGGUUCUGGACUCCAGAUGUGAGAAUCUGAGGUUAUCAAGCUCUUCCUCCUGCCUCCCAUCAUACUCCCUUCCCAGAGCAGACCUGCAAAGCUCUUUAUCCAAAGCAUGUAGAAGAAGGCAUUUUUCAAAGAGGAGGGAAGGGAAAGGAGAAGGGAAAAAAAAGGGAAGGAAGGAAGCAAGGAAAGGAAGCAGGGAGAGAGGGAGAAGGAGGGAAGGAGGGAGGGGAAGAAACAUUUCACAUUAGAAAAAUGGUAAGGAAGGCACAGCAUCUUAUUCUCAUGGCACCUGCUUCCCAUACAUUCCUCUUAUUAGUAUGCUGCCAAUAGAAUGACCUCACCAUACUCUUACUGCUUGUUCCUCAACUGUGUCUGUCUAGCCUCCGCAAGGCAAGUUCACUUACGUGUCUACACUGGAUCACAGUGCAGUAACCUCCCUGUCAUUCAGUGUCAUUUGAGAAGAGGAAGAAUUCUUCCCUUGCAUUCUUCUUUCCAUCUGGAGGGAGAGUUUGGAUCAUCCUAAGGGAGGUGAGGCCUUCCUUCAGUGGGCUCUGGGAAGCACCAGCGCCCCCCCCCCCAUCAGGGGAAAUGUCACAGUCAAAUGUCACAAUCUAUGUUUGGACAAUGCUGUUGACCCCACCUCAUUAUUGGACAUUCCCAAUAGACCUGAGCAUGUUUAGCUCUGAGAGGUCCUGAAAUAAAGAAAUCUCUUAAGAAACAUUGUUUCCCAGAGUUCCUGCUGUGGCCUGUGGUACAAGUGGGUUGAGGAUCCAGGCUUAUUGCAGCUGUGGUGCAGGCCUGCCGCUGCAGCUUGGAUUCGAUCCCUGGCCUGGGAACUUACAUAUGCCCUGGGUA